CUUAUAAAAUGCUCUUUUGUAGCCUCACGCCUGACUGUUUAGAUAUUCUCUUUAUAUAUGUAUACAUAAAUAAGUCAUUGCAAGCUGAAUUGUGCCCAGUUUCUGGCCCUGCACAGACUUUGCCACACACACUCCGAGAGAGAGAGAGAGGGAAAAAGCAGCGACGUGAACGAGCAGCCUCGGCGCCUGGCAUCGUUUGCAAUAACGUGUCGCAUCUUUUUCUAAAAAAAACUAAGGUUGAGAAAUUUAGGAUUGACUCCAAGUGCAGGAGCAAUGAGGAGAGAACUGACAUAACAGGAGCUGUCACACCUAGGUCUGAAUAGUGGAGAAGAGAAGAACUUGGACCCAGCAGACAGUACGAUGCUGUUUUAAUGUCACAAGAGGAGCAGCUCCAGACCAGAGCAGCUGGACCUACUUUCCACCUCUCUCUCUCCCUGAAAAGUCUCAUCACGAGAAAGAAUCUCAAACUUUAUCUGCCAAAUUGAAUUUGGUAUCUUUGACUACCACCCAUCAGAACCACAGCUCCCAGGAAAAGAACUGUGAUAAGAUCAGCCACUUGCAGACUCCAAAUUGUGUAUUGACUCACUGGACACUGUUGCAUAAACUGAUUUCAACAUCUUUGUAUUUUUAAGAAGCUCUUUGGAACUUCCCUUAUUUUAUCUUUCUACCUUGUAUGACUGCAUGUGAAUGAAGCAGCGAAGCAGUUCUUUGAGUUUUGAAUGUUUUGUUAAUAAAUAAACCCAACCUUGGUUUUCAUUUUA